rnacentral:rRNA from 1 species
UACGUAGGGUGCGAGCGUUGUCCGGAAUUAUUGGGCGUAAAGAGCUCGUAGGCGGUGUGUCGCGUCGGUCGUGAAAACCCGGAGCUCAACUCCGGGCCUGCAGUCGAUACGGGCGGACUUGAGUGUUGCAGGGGAGACUGGAAUUCCUGGUGUAGCGGUGAAAUGCGCAGAUAUCAGGAGGAACACCGGUGGCGAAGGCGGGUCUCUGGGCAACUACUGACGCUGAGGAGCGAAAGCGUGGGGAGCGAACAGG